UACGUAGGGUGCGAGCGUUAAUCGGAAUUACUGGGCGUAAAGCGUGCGCAGGCGGCUUUGUAAGUCAGAUGUGAAAUCCCCGAGCUCAACUUGGGAACUGCGUUUGAAACUACAAGGCUAGAAUAUGUCAGAGGGGGGUAGAAUUCCACGUGUAGCAGUGAAAUGCGUAGAGAUGUGGAGGAAUACCAAUGGCGAAGGCAGCCCCCCUGGGAUAAUAUUGACGCUCAUGCACGAAAGCGUGGGGAGCAAACAGG
rnacentral:rRNA from 1 species